UACGUAGGGGGCAAGCGUUGUCCGGAAUCAUUGGGCGUAAAGAGCGUGUAGGCGGUCCGGUCAGUCGGUUGUGAAAGUCAAGGGCUCAACCCUUGAAUGCCGGCCGAUACUGCCGGGCUAGAGUCCGGAAGAGGUGAGUGGAAUUCCUGGUGUAGCGGUGAAAUGCGCAGAUAUCAGGAGGAACACCGAUGGCGAAGGCGGGUCUCUGGGCAACAACUGACGCUGAGGAGCGAAAGCGUGGGGAGCGAACAGG
rnacentral:rRNA from 1 species